rnacentral:lncRNA from 1 species
AACUUGCUUUGGCCAAUGGAACAUUAGCAAAUGUGACACAAGUAGCAACUUGAGAGGUACACGUGUAUUGGAGUUUGCCCUCUCUUGCUGCUGGAAACCCUCCUGCUACCAUGUGACAUAUUCAAGCAAGCCUCCUGGAGCAUGAGACUUUGUGGAGAGAGACCUCAGUCAUCCCAGUCAUCUCAGGUUGCCACCAGAAGCCCCAUCCAGACACCAUGGAGAAGACGGAGCAUCAUAUGCAGACCCUGAACUUUGUGCUGCUGUUGCUGCUGCUGCAGCUGCAUUGACCUCAUGAGUUUUGGGGUUGCCUGUCCGGGUCUUGGGUUUGCCUCCCUGGGGAAAGUGUAAGUGUGUUCUGUGUAAGAGAGGAAGAACAGAUCAUUUGUGACCAGAAGGAAAGACUGUGGAGGACACUGGUUAGCUAGUCUCCAAAAACCACUUCCUUUUUCUCCCAGGCCCACUGCUACACUAUGCUUCCCAGGCUUCUUUACAGCUGCCAUAAUAUGUGUCUCUGCUCUGACCAAUGAAAUGUGGGCACCAGGCCUGGUACAUUAAGCCUCUGACUCAUGACCUUCUGUGCCCUCUCUUCCAAUGGCUACACUGGAGAUGACUAGGACAAUCUUAGGAGUCAGUGUGAAGAUGGUUGAUCCAAAGAUGGAGAAAUCUGGGUCCCUGAAAACCUGAGUCCCUGAGGGUGGAGAAAGGCCACCCUCUAGAAGCAACUGCAUUUGACUACUAACUGAGCAAAAAAUAAAUCAGCUUUAACCAUAUUAAACCCCUGAGAUUUGGGAGUUUAUUGCUAGGUUACCCUAAUCUAUAUACAAGCAGAAUGAAAAGCACGGGCAAAGACAGGAAGAUUGGAAUUCAUGACAUAGCCUGACGAGAGUGAGGACUUCUCUAGACAUGAGGGACAGAGUGACAGAAGAUGAGCUUGAAGGAUUCCUUUGGGAAAAUUCCUGCAGGUCUUGAAUGCCAUGCAAAGAUUUGGACUUUAUUCUACAGAAAAUGGGGACCACUUAAAAAAAGUGUUUUUUCUUCUAUUUAAAACUGCUAUAGUAAAUGCUGCCAGUAAUCUGCUCUUCUAAAGUAACUAAAAAUCCAAACUUUCACAUAUUAUUGCCCCCCCAAAAUUGAAAAUGUGAAAAAUGUAAUCACCAGGCUGACAACAGCUUUUGCAGUCUGUUAAAGCUGCAACUCGUAUCAAAUGAGUCCUGCCAAAUUCAUUGAGAAAUCAGUAACUAUCAGAGAAAAACUCCCAACAUGUAAUAUCUGCCUCUUCAUGAAACUGUGUGUGUGUGUGUGUGUGUGUGUGUGUGUGUGUGCAUGUGUAUAUCAGAGAGAUAUAUAUUUUUUCAGGUAAUAAAUGGUAUUCAUGCAACAAAACAAAAUCUGAAAUGGGGCUUCAAUUAAGGCCACAUUUACCAAACUUGUUCUGUGUGACAGGUGUUCUGAUAGGUGCCUAUGAUAGAAAAAUAAAUGAUCAACCAGGACUUCAAAUCACUCCCAGAUUAAUGCAAGAGGUAGGCACAUAAACAGGUUAACCAUAAGGGCACAUGCUACUAUAAAAAUAGGACUCACUAGAUCUAUGGAGGUUAGGAGAGAAUCCAAGAUGACUGAACUUUCUUAACCUGAUCCUGAAGAUCAUUCUUGAUCGGAUCCAACCUACCUUUGCAGGCUGAAAUUCCAUUACUUUUCUUCACACGAUUUCUUGCUCUUAGACCUAUCCUGCACUUUUGCACUUCCAUGCUUUGUCCUCUGCCUCGAAUUCUCUCCCUGACCUAUCACUAACCCCUGUUUACAGUGCCACUAAGAUUCCACUCAGGAAAUCUUCCCUGGUUCCAGUGGGAUGUAUCUUUUCCCUUCUUUAGAGUCUCUUCUUUUCUCUGUGUCCUGAGGAAGUUACCACUUUCUGCUUUGCAUCAUAGUUAUUUUCUGACUUGCUGGUCUUGUCUGAUCUCUACACUAAACCAUAAGCUCCCUGAAGACCAGGAGUGUUUCUAUUCCUUUCUUAUACUUCUGGUAUCAAGUAUAGCAAUUUGUAGGUACAUGGUGGAUGUUCAGUAAGUAUUUUCUGAAUGUCGGAAUGUAAAACUCAAAAGCCACUGGAGACACUGAAUCUACACACAACACUGCAACCCUCUCCUUGGCCAAGAGCUUCAUUGUUGGGUGAUAUAUGAUGUUUUCCUGGGAAAGGAAGGAGGGCAAUUUUGUAAGAGAAUUAAGUGAGGGUGCACAAGGAAAGUAAAAAUAGUGCUACAUUCCUGGUUCCAAAUAGUGUGUAGUUGUAUAACAAAAAUUAAAACUGUCCAAUAAGCCAAUAUCUUAGCUUAUUGAUUAAAAGAGAUUGAAAGCUCCAAAUCUUCUUUAUUGCAAAACAAUCUUUUAUAAAAGAAUCUCUAUUAACAUCAUGUCAGCAUUCUCUUACAAAAUCCAGCAAGGGGAAAAUGGGGAGUUGCCUCCCUUUCUAAUAUCAACACCAUUAAUAAACAGUAUUAACAUUCGGGCAGCUGAAUGGGGAAGAAAUAUUGACUAUCUGUAAUGUUCCCACAUUGGUGCUUUAAGAGUUCUGGAAGCUAAAACAUAGACAAAUCAGCAUUACUCAGUAGAGAAGGGCCAAAGCCAAAAGUAGAAAAGAUCAAUGUUUAUAAAAUAUUGAAGUAAACCAAAUUUGUUUACUAAGAUCUGGAAUAUAAUAAAGAAGGAGAAAUACAUUUGACAUUUAAAUGAGGACAAAUUUAGGGAAAAUAAAAAUACGUACAAAUUUUGUCUCAUUUGGGUAAACUUUAGGUUUUAGUUAACUAAGACAAGAGCAAACCAGAAUGAAAAGAUAAAUAAAUCCAUAAUGUCUCCAUAAAAAUUUAUUGAAAGUAGACUUUUGGGGGAGUGAUCCUGAAUCAGUUAGGUUCUAGGGCCUAGAGGCCACUGCAAUUAUUACAAGACCUGGAAAUACAUACUCACAUCGAGCCUUGUCUAUGGAUUGUACACAUGAUAUGCCUAACUCAUAUGUUCUACCAGUUGACAUGAACACAUAGAUACUUUACUGAUGAGUAACAGAAUGUCAGCAGGUUAGGGAAGCCAGGCAGGCUAAUCUCCCAGGGACACACUCUGUGGUAGAAGCUGUCAGAGGGAGGGAGGGGCCUUACUUUCUGGGGGGGCACAUAAUCAAUGACAGGGGUCACGGUAGGAGCAUGGGCUUUGAAAGGCCCUGAGUAGAAGAGAGAGGGGUAGAGCCAGUAAGACAGCCUAAGGCUGUAUGGAAAGCAAUGGAACCUCUCAGGGCUUCAGGAAAAUUUCCACAAUCAUAAAAUUCUGUAUAUGGUUAAAUUUUUUGUGGAAAAUGGUUAAAAGGCUGAGCUUCUGGAUUUGACACAGGGCUCCUCCCAGACAGAAAAAAAAAAGUGGGAAUAAAGCAAAAUAUAAGGAAUUAGAGGGGGAAACUCAAAGAAAAACUAACAGCACUUUGCAUGCUACAGCAUUAUAAGGCUCUGGAAAUGGAGUUCCAGCCAAAUUUCACCUGAGGUGAAUGGGGACCUUGAGUAAUACUUUAGUUUCUCUGUUGUUGUUGCUUUUGUUUUUGAGACAGGGUCUCCCUCUGUCACCAAGGCUGGAGUGCAGUGAUGUAAUCUCAGUUCACUGCAGCCUCAACCUCCCAGGGUCAAGCAAUCCUCCAGCCUCUCAGCCUCUCAAGUAGAUAAGACUACUGGCAUGUGUCACAACUGGCUAAUUUUUGUAUUUUUUGUAGAGAUGGGGUCUCACUAUAUUGCCUAGGCUGGUGUCAAACUCCUGGACCCAAGGGGUCCACCCACCUCGGCCUCCCAAAGUGCUGGGAUUAUAGGUGUGAGCUACCAAGCCCAGCUGUUGUUUAAGAGACAUGAUCUCACUCUGUGGAGAUCCUUCUGCCUCAGCCUCUUGAGUCGCUGGGACUACAGACGCAUGCCACCACACCUGGCUAAUUAUUUUUUUAAUUUUUGUAGAGAUAGGGUCUUGCUAUGUUGCCCAGGCUGGUCUUAAGCUCCUGGCCUCAAGCAAUCCUCCCACCUCAGCCCACCUAGUGGCUGGGAUUACAGGCAUGAACCACAGCACUCAGCCUUAGUUUCUUAAAUAAAUUCACUUUAAAAUGUUCCUGAAAUCUUGGAAGCUUUUUUCCACUAUUUGUUUUCAGUUGAUGGAAUAAUUUUUCAGUUGAUUCCAUUUCAGUUGAUGGAAUAAUUUUUAAUGGUUUACAUUUUAAAACAUUUUCAUAUUAUAAGCAUUAAGAACCAGCCGGGCACACUGACUCACACCUGUAAUCCCAGCACUUUGGGAAGCCAAGGCGGGUGGAUCACCUGAGGUCAGGAGUUUGAGAUCAGCCUGGCCAACAUAGCAAAUCCCCUUCUCUACUAAAAAUACAAAAAAUUAGCUGGGUGUGGUGGCAGGUGCCUGUAAUCCCAGCUACUUGGGAGGGUGAGACAGGAGAAUUGCUUGAGCCUGGGAGGCAGAGGUUGCAUUGAGCCAAGAUCACGCCAUUGCACUCCAGCCUGGGUGACAGAGCGAGAAUCUGAAAAAAAAAAAAAAAGUUAAGAGCCAUUAUUUUGAGAGUAUUAGCAUAUUAUGGUUGAUGUCAAGAAUACAAAAUUGUUAGCCUCAUCAGGGAAGGCUGAGCUGAGUCCCCUGCAGGCCAUGGUCUUUAAGGAGAGCAUCCAUCUACUACAUCCCGACCCCACGUGCUAUUGAGUGAAUAGAAUGCUGACAACAAGGAAGGCCCAGAAUGGGUGUAAAUGGUCACACCUUUCAUCAAAAUUAAUGCUUUCCUUUCCUUGCUGUACCUAAUUUAAUCCCCAAAC